UACAUAGGGUGCAAGCGUUAUCCGAAAUUAUUGGGUGUAAAGAGUUCGUAGGUUGUUUGUUAAGUCAGAAGUUAAAUCCCGGGGCUCAACCCUGGCCCGCUUUUGAUACUAGCAAACUAGAGUUAUAAAGAGGUUAGUGGAAUUCCUAGUGAAGCGGUGAAAUGUGUAGAUAUUAGGAAGAACAUCAAUGGCGAAGGCAGCUAACUGGUUAUGUACUGACACUGAGGAACGAAAGCGUGGGGAGCAAACA
rnacentral:rRNA from 1 species